rnacentral:rRNA from 1 species
UACGGAGGGGGCAAGCGUUGUUCGGAAUUACUGGGCGUAAAGGGCGCGCAGGCGGCUGCUCAAGUCAGGCGUGAAAGGCCUGGGCUCAACCCGGGAAUUGCGCUUGAGACUGGGCUGGCUUGAGUGUGGGAGAGGAUGGUGGAAUUCCCAGUGUAGAGGUGAAAUUCGUAGAUAUUGGGAAGAACACCGGUGGCGAAGGCGGCCAUCUGGACUGCAACUGACGCUGAGGCGCGAAAGCGUGGGGAGCAAACAGG